AGAGCGAACGCUGGCGGCAGGCCUAAUACAUGCAAGUCGAACGCACCUUCGGGUGAGUGGCGGACGGGUGAGUAACACGUGGGAACGUGCCUUUUGGUUCGGAAUAAUCCGGGGAAACCUGGCCUAAUACCGGAUGUGCCCUUCGGGGGAAAGAUUUAUCGCCAUUAGAGCGGCCCGCGUCUGAUUAGCUAGUUGGUGAGGUAACGGCCCACCAAGGCGACGAUCAGUAGCUGGUCUGAGAGGAUGAUCAGCCACACUGGGACUGAGACACGGCCCAGACUCCUACGGGAGGCAGCAGUAGGGAAUCUUGCGCAAUGGGCGAAAGCCUGACGCAGCCAUGCCGCGUGAAUGAUGAAGGUCUUAGGAUUGUAAAAUUCUUUCAGCGGGGAAGAUAAUGACUGUACCCGCAGAAGAAGCUCCGGCUAACUUCGUGCCAGCAGCCGC
rnacentral:rRNA from 1 species